ACAUCAGUGAGGUACAUCCUUACCUGUUAUUCUCUUCGGAGAAUAUCAGAUUAUGAUGAAUGGAGAGAUAUGAGAUUGUGAUUAUGCAUUCUCAGUCGUAGGGGAACUGCAACACCCUUAUGAUACCAUUCUGAU